AUUGAACGCUGGCGGCAGGCCUAACACAUGCAAGUCGAACGAGUGGCGGACGGGUGAGUAAUGUAUGGGAAAAUGCCAGAUGGAGGGGGAUAACUACUGGAAACGGUAGCUAAUAACGCAUACAAUCAGAUGUGCCCAGAUGGGAAUAGCUAGUUGGUGGGGUAACGGCUCACCAAGGAGACGAUCCCUAGCUGGUCUGAGAGGAUGACCAGCCACACGGGAACGGAGACACGGUCCAGACCCCUACGGGCGGCAGCAGUGGUGAAUAUUGCACAAUGGGCGCAAGCCUGAUGCAGCCAUGCCGCGUGUAUGAAGAAGGCCUGCGGGUUGUAAAGUACUUUCAGCGGGGAGGCGUUACCCGCAGAAGAAGCACCGGCGAACUCCGUGCCAGUAGCCGCGGUAAUAC
rnacentral:rRNA from 1 species